rnacentral:rRNA from 1 species
UACGUAGGGGGCUAGCGUUGUCCGGAAUCAUUGGGCGUAAAGAGCGUGUAGGCGGUCCGGUAAGUCCGUUGUGAAAGUCAAGGGCUCAACCCUUGAAUGCCGGCGGAUACUGUCGGGCUAGAGUCCGGAAGAGGCGAGUGGAAUUCCCGGUGUAGCGGUGAAAUGCGCAGAUAUCGGGAGGAACACCUAUGGCGAAGGCGGGCUACUGGGCCGAUACUGACGCUGAGGCGCGAAAGCCAGGGGAGCAAACGGG